rnacentral:rRNA from 1 species
AACGAACGCUGGCGGCGUGCCUAAUACAUGCAAGUUGAGCGCUGAAGGUUGGUACUUGUACCAACUGGAUGAGCAGCGAACGGGUGAGUAACGCGUGGGGAAUCUGCCUUUGAGCGGGGGACAACAUUUGGAAACGAAUGCUAAUACCGCAUAAAAACUUUAAACACAAGUUUUAAGUUUGAAAGAUGCAAUUGCAUCACUCAAAGAUGAUCCCGCGUUGUAUUAGCUAGUUGGUGAGGUAAAGGCUCACCAAGGCGAUGAUACAUAGCCGACCUGAGAGGGUGAUCGGCCACAUUGGGACUGAGACACGGCCCAAACUCCUACGGGAGGCAGCAGUAGGGAAUCUUCGGCAAUGGACGAAAGUCUGACCGAGCGACGCCGCGUGAGGGAAGAAGGUUUUCGGAUCGUAAAACUCUGUUGGUAGAGAAGAACGUUGGUGAGAGUGGAAAGCUCAUCAAGUGACGGUAACUACCCAGAAAGGGACGGCUAACUACGUG